UACGUAGGGGGCAAGCGUUGUCCGGAAUCAUUGGGCGUAAAGCGCGUGUAGGCGGCUCGGUAAGUCCGCUCUGAAAGUCCAGGGCUCAACCCUGGGAUGCGGGUGGAUACUGUCGGGCUCGAGUCCGGAAGAGGCGAGUGGAAUUCCUGGUGUAGCGGUGAAAUGCGCAGAUAUCAGGAGGAACACCAAUGGCGAAGGCAGCUCGCUGGGACGUGACUGACGCUGAGACGCGAAAGCGUGGGGAGCAAACAGG
rnacentral:rRNA from 1 species